GACGAACGCUGGCGGCGCGCCUAACACAUGCAAGUCGAACGGUGACGAGAGCUUCGGCUCUCUGAUCAGUGGCGGACGGGUGAGCAACACGUGAGCAACCUGCCUAUCAGAGGGGGACAACAGUUGGAAACGACUGCUAAUACCGCAUAAUGUUAUUUGGGGGCAUCCCUGAAUAACCAAAGAUUUAUUGCUGAAAGAUGGUCUCGCGUCUGAUUAGCUAGUUGGUGAGGUAACGGCUCACCAAGGCGACGAUCAGUAGCCGGUCUGAGAGGAUGAACGGCCACAUUGGGACUGAGAUACGGCCCAGACUCCUACGGGAGGCAGCAGUGGGGAAUAUUGGGCAAUGGGGGAAACCCUGACCCAGCAACGCCGCGUGAAGGAUGAAGGUCUUCGGAUUGUAAACUUCUGUUUUGAGGGACGAACAAGGACGGUACCUCAGGAGGAAGCCACGGCUAACUACGUG
rnacentral:rRNA from 1 species